CAUAGAAUUAGAAUCAGAAACACAGAAACCCAAAAUCUGAAUCCCUGCUAAAAGGGGCCAAAAACUGCGGGCGGAGAUGAGAGGAAUCGGAGGGGGCCCGCCGUUUCAUUGUCCACGCCUCCCUCCCUCUCUCAUCCAUGCACAGCGGCGGCCACUGCCCCGCAGGUGCAAGUGCAAUGGUUCACCUCUCGGUCGCCCCAUUUGUGGGGGCCGAUCGCGGAUCGCCGGCCCGCCCGCAUCACCGUAACGGACGCGGCGCCCCUCUACGACGUCCUCCGCACCACGUUCAUCUCAUCUGUCGAUCUGGACUCUGGUGCGGGCUGCCACUGCCAACGCUAGGUUGGCGCUCGCACACGGAGGUCGCGCACUCGGGCACGUUCGUCCUUGCCGUUGCUAACCUGCACGGCCGGCGACGGCGACUUUGAGUCACGGCCACCUGCUCGACAACCCGAUCCGGAAAUCUGAUGAUGGCACGGUGAGAUCUAGCAAGGGGGACUGUUGCUUGUGCCUGAAACCUGUUCGUUCAAAUGCGUCCUUGUGUCCGGCAAGGCAGUUUAGGUUGAGGGUGUGUUUGCCUUCCUGUGCCCGUCAGGGAAGUUAGUGCUCGUAAAUGGACCGAUGGGGGCAUGGGUGGAUGUAACAUCACUUGCUCGCAUCAAGUGCGGGAGAAGUGGAAACGGUAUACACGAGCACAUAGUCUGGUCAUUUGUCUCAAGUGGUGCUAAUGCUUGUCUUGCCGUUUCGAGUGGAACCAGGAAUCCUGCACCUGUUGGAUGUGGGCUGCCCUGCCCUGGAUGGAUGUAUUUGAGGGCAGGUUACUGUAGUUUGAAACUUUGAAAGGCUAGUGGCGAUAUUGACGUUAUCACUGGAUGAUGGUUGAAGUCUGAAUAUGUAUUGUUUUCCUGUUUCAGGGUUUUGAGUUGUUGACCUGAGAGUGAGAGGGAUGUCAACAGUAUAAGGCAAUCACAAAGGUUCAGGUUUUAGAGACACUAGUGAAUAGCCAGUUUGUGGCUUGGUGCUCGAAUGAAUUUGACACAUAUUUACCGGGUACUCCUGUCACCUAAAAUCCACAGCUCCUGGCUCUAUUGCGACUGUUUUUGCGUGAUCUAUAAAGAAUGCUGCACAGAUUGACAGUCGACGAUUGCUUGGCAUGGAGGUGGCGAGGAAGAUAAAUACAAUGGUCGUCCACAAUAUAAUUCCUUAUAAUGGAACAGAAACUGAAGCUUUGCGGUAGAAAUGCUCAUUAGCAGAUAUGUUCCAGAUAAGUGGUUUCUUGAAGCAUUUAAUAUGCUAUGUGUAGAUGCGCCAAAUCAUGAAUUCUCAGUCUUUACCAGCCAAAAUCAUGUACGGAUAUACUCCCCCGGUCCAAAAUAGAUGCCAUUCUGUCAAGUUGGUUGUUUCCCUUCGUAAAAUUUUCUUCUAAAUGGCCUUUGUUGAAUGUUUAUAGGUAAA